AAGGAGACAACCUUGGACUACUUGGUGAGUAUGCCAGAGACGGACUGUACUUGGCUGACUGCGGGUUGUAACUUGGAGAGGUAGGGCUAUAGCUUGGUGAUGUGGGACUGUAACUUGGUGAGGUUGGACUGUACCCAGGAGAAGUGGGGCUAUAAGCGGGUGAAGUGGGGCUAUAUGAAGGAGAUGUGGGGCUAUAGGAAGGAGAUGUGGGGCUGUACGAAGGAGAUGUGGGGCUGUAUGAUGGAGAUGUGGGGCUGUACGAUGGAGAAGUGGGGCUAUAUGCAGGAGAAGUGGGGCUAUAUGCAGGAGAAGUGGGGCUAUAUACGGGUGAAGUGGGGCUGUAGCUAGGUGAAGUGGGACUGUAACUGGGGGAUGUGGGACUGUAACUUGGAGAUGUAGGGCUGUAACUUGGAGAGGUAGGGCUAUAGCUUGGUGAGGUUGGAGAAUAUGAGGGGCUGGUAGGAGAGUAGGCUGGACUUGUCGGACUGUAUCCUGGUGAGCUAGGACUGUAAGUAGGUGAUGUGGGGCUGUAACCAGGAGAGGUGGGACUGUACCCAGGAGAUGUAGGACUGUAACCAGGAGAGGUAGGACUGUAACCAGGUGAUGACGGACUGUAUCCAGGAGAUGAUGGGCUGUAACCGGGGGAUGACGUAGGAGAGAAUGCCAUUCCACCAACAUAAGGCGAGAACUGUGCAUCUGAAAUGGGUGAGAGACGGAGAUUUGGGCUCAGCAAGUAACUUGGAGACAUCAUGCCUUCAUGAUAAGGAGUUCCUGACACUGGAGAACGUGCAGGUGUCAUGCCAAAUUCCAGACCUUCCAUGUAACUAGGUAGCUGAAGUUCAAUGGCAUUCUUCAACAUCUCAUCAUUGAGAUACAAGGCACAGUCUCCCGUGCCAAUUGGUGCAAGCUGGCCCAACAUUAUAUUCUCUGUUACACCCCUCAAAUAAUCCGACUCGGCAUAAACAGCAGCAUCAAGGAGAAUAU
rnacentral:lncRNA from 1 species